GAGUUUGAUCCUGGCUCAGAACGAACGCUGGCGGCAUGCCUAACACAUGCAAGUCGAACGAACUCUUCGGAGUUAGUGGCGCACGGGUGCGUAACGCGUGGGAAUCUGCCCUUGGGUACGGAAUAACUCAGAGAAAUUUGUGCUAAUACCGUAUAAUGACUCCGGUCCAAAGAUUUAUCGCCCAAGGAUGAGCCCGCGUAAGAUUAGCUAGUUGGUGGGGUAAAGGCCUACCAAGGCUACGAUCUUUAGCUGGUCUGAGAGGAUGAUCAGCCACACUGGGACUGAGACACGGCCCAGACUCCUACGGGAGGCAGCAGUGGGGAAUAUUGGACAAUGGGCGAAAGCCUGAUCCAGCAAUGCCGCGUGAGUGAUGAAGGCCUUAGGGUUGUAAAGCUCUUUUACCCGGGAUGAUAAUGACAGUACCGGGAGAUAAAGCUCCGGCUAACUCCGUGCCAGCCGCCGCCGUAAG
rnacentral:rRNA from 1 species